GAGAGGACCGAGUUGGACAAACCUCUGGUGUAUCAGUUGUCGCGCCAGCGGCAUUGCUGAGUAGCUACGUUUGGAAGGGAUAAGCGCUGAAAGCAUAUAAGCGCGAAACCCACCACAAGAUGAGAUUUCUUUAAAGGGUCGUGGGAGAUUACCACGUUGAUAGGCUAUAGGUGUAAAGGCAGUAAUGUCAUAGCCGAGUAGUACUAAUAACCCAUAGGCUUAUUGUACGCC
rnacentral:rRNA from 1 species